rnacentral:rRNA from 1 species
GAAAGAACAGAGAAAGAAUGGAACAACUUUGAGCGGUGGAUCACUCGGCUCGUGCGUCGAUGAAGAGCGCAGCCAG